rnacentral:rRNA from 1 species
CCUACGGGAGGCAGCAGUAGGGAAUUUUCGUCAAUGGGGGGAACCCUGAACGAGCAAUGCCGCGUGAGUGAAGAAGGUCUUCGGAUCGUAAAGCUCUGUUGUAAGAGAAAAACGGGUAUCAUAGGGAAUGAUGAUAUCGUGAUGGUAUCUUACCAGAAAGCCACGGCUAACUACGUGCCAGCAGCCGCGGUAAUACGUAGGUGGCAAGCGUUAUCCGGAAUGAUUGGGCGUAAAGGGUGCGUAGGCGGCAAAAUAAGUCUGAAGUAAAAGGCGUUGGCUCAACCAACGUAAGCUUUGGAAACUGU